rnacentral:rRNA from 1 species
AUACGGAGGGUGCAAGCGUUAUUCGGAAUCACUGGGCGUAAAGCGCGCGCAGGCGGCUAUUUAAGUUGGAUGUGAAAGCCUACGGCUCAACCGUAGAACUGCAUCCAAAACUAUUUAGCUAGAGUGUGGGAGAGGAAGAUGGAAUUAGUUGUGUAGGGGUAAAAUCCGUAGAGAUAACUAGGAAUACCAAAAGCGAAGGCAAUCUUCUGGAACACUACUGACGCUGAGGCGCGAAAGCGUGGGGAGCAAACAGGAUUAGAUACCCUUGUAGUCC